ensembl:lncRNA
GACCAUCUGAAAAGGAUAGGAACGCAUCAGCCUCCCCUGUGAUUUGGGCUAUGGGCUUUGACAUAGCAGGAUCCAACACAUGCUAAGCACUGCUUCUGAGUCACCGCUUUCAUUCCAUUGGGAAUGCCUGUGCCGUGACCAUGCCGAUCUAAUUAUCUGGUGGAAGAUGCAUGCUUGAAGCCAACUGCUGCUAGCUUAUCACCACCUGGGAGCACAAAGGUGACUUAAGGAUGUCUGGUGAGGACUUGGGAAAUUUAAUCUUCAAAUUGCUUUGACCAUUUAAAAUUUCCAGGAGUCUAAGGAGUGCUGAAAUAAUUGCCUGUUAUAAUCCAGGAAUAUAAUUUUAAGAUUAAAUAUUUUGAUGUGCUUCCUUGAA